UCCUUGGUAGGGGCUGUAUGCACUUCUUGGUAGGGGCUGUAUGCACUUCUGGAGGAACAAUGGUUUUUAUUUAGUGGGGAAGACAAGCCUGAAACAUGAUUCAGGCACGGCACUUGAAGCUCUUGGGGUGGGUCCUCCUCGGGGUGACGCCCACGUGAACACCAACGCCUGUCUCUGUGCUGUUUGGCUGUUUUACAAGUUUGGGCAACAGUCGUGAAGUGUGGCCUCAGCCUGAAGGGAGGGAAGCCCGCCAGAGGAGUGACUAGCCCAUGUCAGCAGACUGGGCCUCAGUCGUCCGAGGCUGGGCUAUUAUUUAUAUCAACUGAGUGGUUCGCCACAGUUAUUAUUCAUGAUUUUCAUGUCUUAUUGGCGCAGUGUAUUGUUCCGUGUCUAGGUAUAUCUGGAUGUAAGGGUCGGUUAGAUCAAGAUAAGGAAUGGGGGGCCCUCGAGGGGGGGUUAACUAAAUAUGUAGGCGUAAAGCUGAUUUAUGAGGUGCGUGGUGAUUUUCUGCAAUUAUCUACCAGAAUUUGAUUUUUGGUAAAGAUUUAUUUCAGGUCCUUUGCCAAUAGCAACUUAAGGAAAUGUGUGUCCAGUGUUAUUUGUGUUUUGCACAAAACUGGGCUUCAUUUUCCUUGGAAAUGACCUAUUUCGUGAGAAAAUGGCAAUAUUUAAUUUUCCAAGAAAAUGCCAUUUUCAAGAAAGAUUGAAGUCAGAUUCUUACAAAAACACAAAGAUAAACACUUUCUUAUUUAAGAAAAAAUUUAUAAAAGAAUCCCAUGCCAAAACAACCAGCUGCCACUGCUUUGCACCGAGACACCUCUCAAGGAUCGAAGCAUUAAAUGGGAGGCCACUCACAAGUCGGCAAUCUGGCCCCGAUGAUCACUUUACAACCAGACCAAUGAUACUUACAAGGAUCAAGUGGAACUCUGGGGGGCAGCAUGAGCCAAGCAAAAAUGGCACCAUUUCAAAACACUUGCCUGUGCCGCCAAUGGGUUGAGGCUAACCAACAGGUCCCAUCAAAAAAGCCUACUAAUGUUAUGGCCUGAACUUAAAAAGAAAAGAUCGGUGAUUCGGUUGAGCCAUUCCAUCCUGAUGUCUGCCCCCGGAACUCUGUCAAGGUAGUGGCUGCAGCAGUCCUCUCUCUCUCUCUCCUGCUGGCAUGUGGUCCUGGUGUGCUUUGAUUCUCUUAAUCCUCCAUUCAGCUGUCUGUCCUCCAAGGUUGCUUGUUGGAGGGUCCAAAUGCCUGAUAUGGACCACCGUUUGUUGGAAAGUUGUGACGUGUAAGAUUCACAAGCCAUUGAAGGGUUGAUACACCUGGUGGGGUCUGCAGUCCACCACACCUGAAUAAAGAAACAACAAAAUUAGAAUCUCCUUUUAAACGUGAUUGUUAGCAUGGGGUUAUAGGCAAGGUUAGUCCUGUAGUGGGUGAUGUUAAUUCUGUAGUGCCAGCAGCUUCUCUAGUUGCCUCUCAGGUCGGUUCACGUCCAUUUUCUAUCGCGUCUGCAUGUACGUUCACAUUGUCUGCUUCCUAAAGAAUAUACGGAUUUUAGUUUAUUCAGUGUUUGUCUAUCCCGUCAUUACAAGUUCAGACCCCUUAGUUACAUGGCACAGUGAGUAGAAUACUUGGGAAGCAAAUGGAAUAUGAACGUGUACAUGGGGAGGGGACAUGAUACAAGAUGGGCGUGAACUGGCCCGAGAGGCAACGAAAACUUCUGACACUACCAUUAGAAGAUAUUUCUGUAAUGCAUUCUGCUUACCUUGUAAAAUGGAAAGUUGUCAAAUAAAGAUUUCCUGGUAAGACUA